AAAAUGGGCUGGGCGACGACUGAUGUGACUUGAUGUUGAUCGCCUACUCAAGUGAGAGUGUUGGAUCCUUUGCACCAUGUUUUUAGGUUAAUAUGCUAACUGGUAACAUUGGCAAAAACUCCAAGAACAAGAUAAAACUACUAACUGGUUACCAUUACCACUAUCGUUAAAACAUAAAAAGAACAAGUUCGACAACCGAAACAAAAGACCAGUUCAUUACAUUGACAACAUUUACAUAUAAACUAGUUCUGGUGCACCUUCCGCUCCUUAACCACCGC
rnacentral:lncRNA from 1 species